UAGCUCAGUGGUAGAGCACCUGCCUAGCAGGCUCAAGGUUUUGGGUUCAAUUCCCAG
rnacentral:tRNA from 1 species